ACGGGAGGCAGCAGUGGGGAAUAUUGGGCAAUGGGCGAAAGCCUGACCCAGCAACGCCGCGUGAAGGAAGAAGGUUUUCGGAUUGUAAACUUCUUUUAUCAGGGACGAAGAAUGUGACGGUACCUGAUGAAUAAGCCACGGCUAACUACGUGCCAGCAGCCGCGGUAAUACGUAGGUGGCAAGCGUUAUCCAGAUUUACUGGGUGUAAAGGGCGCGUAGGCGGGGGUGCAAGUCAGAUGUGAAAUCCAUGGGCUUAACCCAUGAACUGCAUUUGAAACUGUAUUUCUUGAGUGUCGGAGAGGCAGACGGAAUUCCUAGUGUAGCGGUGAAAUGCGCAGAUAUUAGGAGGAACACCAGUGGCGAAGGCGGUCUACUGGACGAUAACUGACGCUGAGGCGCGAAAGCGUGGGGAGCAAACAGGAUUAGAUACCCUGGUA
rnacentral:rRNA from 1 species